rnacentral:lncRNA from 1 species
CAAACCUUCACUUGUUUAAUUUAUUUCAAAUUUAUUUCUGUUACACGAUUGUGUGUGCAUAACUAAAUAUAUAGUACCUCCAGAAAACAGAUUUUCCUAUCAUAUAAGGUCAGAGAAAAAAAACUUACAAAAACAUAAAAAAAAAACAAAAAUAGCAAAACAUACAUGAAAUCUUAAUUUUGGUUUAACUAGAAAAUAC